UACGAAGGGAGCUAGCGUUGUUCGGAAUCACUGGGCGUAAAGCGCGCGUAGGCGGCUGUGUCAGUCAGGGGUGAAAUCCCGGAGCUCAACUUCGGAACUGCCUUUGAUACAGCACGUCUUGAGUCCGAUAGAGGUGGGUGGAAUUCCUAGUGUAGAGGUGAAAUUCGUAGAUAUUAGGAAGAACACCGGUGGCGAAGGCGGCCCACUGGACCGGUACUGACGCUGAGGCGCGAAAGCGUGGGGAGCAAACAGG
rnacentral:rRNA from 1 species